rnacentral:rRNA from 1 species
UACGGAGGGGCUAGCGUUGUUCGGAAUUACUGGGCGUAAAGCGCGCGUAGGCGGCUUUGUAAGUUAGAGGUGAAAGCCCGGAGCUCAACUCCGGAAUUGCCUUUAAGACUGCAUCGCUAGAAUCAUGGAGAGGUUAGUGGAAUUCCGAGUGUAGAGGUGAAAUUCGUAGAUAUUCGGAAGAACACCAGUGGCGAAGGCGACUAACUGGACAUGUAUUGACGCUGAGGUGCGAAAGCGUGGGAGCAAACAGG